rnacentral:misc_RNA from 1 species
AAGUCGUAACAAGGUUUCCGUAGGUGAACCUGCGGAAGGAUCAUUAACAGAUUCUGCUAGUCAGAUAUCUAACCCGUGUGAACUGUUCUUUAGCCUUGGUACCCAAGAUCUUACUCCUCUGGGGGUCUGAUCUAAGUACCAUCCAUUUUUACCCUUUAACUUUGAGUGCUGAGUAAACCAAAAAAGACUAGAAAACUUUUAGGGAAGUGCCACAUAUUACGUAAUACGUUUUGGGUAGGAGGGGGUCAGCUGGCCGUGUUAUGUUCCUAAGUAAAGUAAUUAUUGGCAGCACUCAAAGGGUUAAGUAGGAGGGGAGGGUGUCAAAAAACGGCCAUUUUACUAUUACGUAAUAUGUGGCACUUCCCUUAGCAACGGAUCUCUAGGCUCUU